GCUGGGUGUGGUGGUGCACGCCUGUAAUCCCAGCAAUUUUGGAGGCUGAGGCAGCAGGAUCGCAAGUUCAAAGCCAGCCUCAGCAAAAGCAAGGUGCUAAGCAACUCAGUGAGACCCUGUCUCUA
rnacentral:sRNA from 1 species